AUACCAAAAGCAAGCAGUAGUUUCAAUUUGCAUAUUAAAACAUUUCUGAUAACAAACAAAACAGAAUAGUCUGAUGCAAAAUAAUAUAAUUGAGAAGUUUCAUGGUUAUUAUUUUUACUUUCAUACUUUUUAGAAUUCUAUUGUCUUGUAUUUAUUAAGAUUUAGCACAACUUCAGAGCUCCCUCUGAAAUAGAUGUUUUAUCAAACAUCCGAAGGUUUUGAAUUAUUUUUUAUAUAGCCUAAAUGAACACAUUUCAAUUUUACCUCAGAGGGCAUCACAAUCUGCACAACAGUAUUUUUCCUCCUUUCUCACCUCUUGGUCAUCAAAGUCCACUUAGACAGUGUAGGAUAUUAGAAAUAAACUGACGACCCGGUUCAUAAAACUAAUAAAAUGCAUAUAGUGUGCACCACAAUACAGCCAUGAGUCUGAAACUGUGUAAUCAAUAAAGUAAUGACAAUGUUGUAAAACCACUGUAAUUCUGCAGCUGUAAUAGAAUAACACCAAUGUACAGCUAUGAUUGUAUUUAAUGUAAUGUAAUCAACUGGAAUGCAUGCAUGCAAUACUUGCACAACAACUGGUAUUGACUGAGGCUCAUUCGAAAUCCGAGUUACAAUGAACUCACCAGAAGACCACUCCCAGAGGUGUGGACACUAACUUUCAUACCUUUACGCAUUGGCAUAAAUACCUGUAGGCAGUGCUGUAGUGGUAAAAUUAGAGGUGGGUAAACUCUGAAUUUUGUGAUCAUACAGACCUCGACGCGAUGCGAAGCAACGCAACACAAAGCGUCGCGACUCUGUAAGGCUGUCCUGGCUAUAUUGCAUUAUGUUAUCAGUAAAAGUCAUAUACAAUCAAUGACAAUGAAUAAAUGUGUUAGUAGUUUGUAGUUUAUUAAAUCUAAGAAAACAGUAAAGAAAAGUAUGUCAACACAACACAACAAGACAAUUGCAGAUUAAGAACUAUCUACAUAUGGAGUCUCCUUUUUACAGUAGUGCCCAGAGGGCCUCCUUGUCCUCCACGUCAGCCAUGGCUCCUCUGUGCUUCUCCUCUCUCUAUUCGACCUGGUGUUUCUCCUCUCCCUGUGCUCUCUGCAUCAUUGCCUGUCCUAUCACUGCCUGAAAAAAUAUGUUGAAUUUAAGAGUUAACCAGUUAAGCAGCCUGUCAAUUACACUGACAACAUAAGUUAAAGGAACACCCAUGUACUACCUAUGUCAUCAUAAAUAGCCUAUACAGCAUGUUUUUUUUCACAUUGAGAACUGACUUGUUUUCUAAUCUACGCGUCACCGUUUUUCUUUGACCGCGCACGACCAGCGAACACAGAGCGCGCGACUACUUCCCCCCCCCGUCGGUGGUUCCGCCCGCAACGACUACUACCCCCCCCCGUCGGACCUUCUCGACCGGUCCGCGAAAUAUUGUCUGACAUGAAACUGGUCCGUGAGGUAAGAAAGGUUGGGGACCACUGGGCUGAUCCACAACGUGUGUUUACACACCUCCUGGAUCCUGUUUGGCGUCGCUGCUGCAGCCGCAAGGCACUGAUUGGAUGCUCACAGACCGUAAUACAGCGCAGAUGAAAACGAUUCAGACUACGGCGUUUAUAUAUUCAACAAUAGGAAAUGUAGUCUUAGCUGUUUUAAAAUUACACCAAGUUUAUUUCGGGUUAUUCCAACGGAAGAAUACAAGGCGCAGGGAACUUUGAGGUGCGUAAACGCUAUUUAUAGGUGCGUAAACGCUAUUUCCAAAUUCCAGAGGUGCGUAAACGGCGUUUACGUGCGUUUACCCUCCACUACAGCCCUGGUCACAUUUAAUAGCUAUAUUAAACUCCUUUUCUUCCCUUCUCAGGACCAGGCAAGACCCCCUUGCGUGUCCCUUGCGUCGCUUUUCACACCUCCUUGCGUGUGUCAAGACAUUUUUCUAGGCUUGCGUCAGCAACGCAAGCCUCCCGCAGCGCACCAGGCUGCGAUUGGUCCGCUAACUACGUCCUUUACGGAGUCUCACAUUUCCGCUUUCAUAGCCCGAUACCGCCAUUAUUUAAACCAAUAAUGUUUACUAGAGAACGGAGCAGAUUUAAGAACUUUUGUCGGAAGAAAUGCGUAAAUAUGACCGCUUAUA
ensembl:lncRNA